rnacentral:rRNA from 1 species
GCCACCGAAAGGUGGUCUAAUACCUUAUAGUAUCCAUCUCGUAUGGAUUAAAGCUUUAUGCGCUUUGGGAGGGGCCUGCGUUUGAUUAGCUAGUUGGUGAGGUAAAAAGCUCACCAAGGCGACGAUCAAUAGCUGGUUUGAGAGGAUGACCAGCCACACUGGGACUGAGAUACGGCCCAGACUCCUACGGGAGGCAGCAGUAAGGAAUCUUCCACAAUGGGGCAACCUGAUGGAGCAAUACCGCGUGCAGGAUGAAGCGUUUCGGCGUGUAAACUGCUUUUAUCACCGAAGAUUAUGACUGUAGGUGAAGAAUAAGGACCGGCUAACUACGUG